rnacentral:lncRNA from 1 species
CCAUUCAUCUUAUUUGAGUCUUCUAUCAACAUUCUGCAUAAUGAGAAACAAUCAUGUAUCUUCCACUCAAAGACAAACAUUGAAAGACAAUUUUAUGGAAUUUGUGGAAACUCAGAUUGUUGAGCAUUUUAUUCUUAUGUAGUCCAAUCUUUAGGAAUAGGGCUGGAAAUAAGUCGAAUCGAACUCGUCUGAGCUCGAUUCGACUCGUUAAGAAUUGAUUCAGCUCGAAACUCGACUCUAGUUCGAACCGAAUGUUUUUUUAAGCUCAAACUCGGCUCGUUUAAUAUUCGUAAAAGGCUUGGUUCGGCUCGUUAAGUUCAACUAAUUUAAACCUCUUAAAAAUUUUGGUCCAAAAUUUAAAAAAAUAAAUAAAUAAAUACAAGAGACACAUAAUCAAUUGAUAUCAACAUUUUGAGCAACAAUAUGGCCCAAUACUUCAAAAAUAAAAAAACACAAUUUAAACAAAUAAAUUGAUAGAGGGAAACACAAAAUUCACUGUAGUGAAAUUGGGUCUCUACCACUACCUUGAACAGUGUAGCAUAUGCAUCAUUUAUUUAUUGGCAAAGCUUGCCAUCUAUUGUGUACCCACUGCCGAUGUGGGACUUAUGAAAACAAAAAAGAAUGUUACUUUGAUAUUUACAAGCUUAUUUGCUAUUGGGAAAUUAUUGGUAGACACACCCUUUUCAAUACCAUUCUUGUACACCUGCCUAUGUGGAUGACAUCUCUAUAAUUUUGUUAAAAAACAAGGGGUAAAAUUGGAAUUUCAAAUAUCUGUUUUUUCAUUCUUUCUCAAUCUCACAAAACUCUGUUCUCAUUCUCUCUUUACCCUCUUCCUCCUCCAACACCCUCUAGCAACCGCCGCCGCCUCUCUCCUUGCUUGCAUCCAUCGUUUGAUUUUGACUCUCCCUGUAUCUCUCUCUCUCUCUCUCCCCUGAAACCCCUUUCUCUCUAAUCUCAUACGGAGCUCUCUCUCUUCUCUCUUCUUUCAAAUCUGAAAAAAUUCAAGCAACUAUACAGGUAUAUAACACCAUUGGAAAAAAAUAAGAAGCUAAAGGAAAUGAAAAACACAAUUAAAAAAAGGUUAAAUGAAAAAGGAAAAAAGGUCAACGGUGGUGGCCGGUGAUAUAGUGGUGGUUGGAGGUCGAAAGCGGUGGUGAGGAGGAUGAUGGUGUGGUCGUGUUGACAGAAAGAGAGAAGCGGCGCCGGAGGUAGGAGAUGAAACCGAAUUGGGUUUUGGUGGCGCCGGUGGUGGCUCGUGGAAGGGAUUGAAGAGAGAAAAGAAACAAUAGUGUUUUUUUCAUUUCUUUUUUGAAACAAUAUUUUAUUUUAUUUUUUUCUUUUCUUAAUUGGAAUAUGCAUUUUUUUAUUAUUAAAUUUUGUCAUUGGACAGUGGUAGAAAUGUGUACAGACACGUAAGUGUGUUUACCUAUAAGUGCUCUUUUUUUAUUAUUAAAUUUUGCCAUUGGACAGUGGUAGAAAGGUGUACAGACACGUAAGUGUGUUUACCUAUAAGUGCUCUUUGCUAUUAGAUGUAGCCCUAUUUUUUUUUUUUUUUCUUUCUUUCUCAUAAGUCAAGUAUAAUAAGCCUCCACUUUAUAUCUAGAUAGCAUCACGAUUGACA